UCCCCGUAAAGCUGGUAAAUGGAGCAGUCAGCCGCUGAUGAUGAGUAUGAGCGCAGGUUCGAUUCCUGCACGGGGAG
rnacentral:tRNA from 1 species